GUGAAUCAUCAAAUUUUUGAACGCAAAUUGCACUCUCCUCGGAGAGUAUGCCUGUUUGAGGGCCAGCCUAUAAAAAAUCGACAUCGUUGCUGUUUCGCGGUGGCGUUCGUCGGAAAUUGGGCCAUCUUAAAUCCCUUUAGUUUUUAAGCGACUUAAAAUUUGGUUUUUGGUUCCAUGAACGUUUCUAAGAUUUAUUUCUUUACACGAUUAAGGUAUCGAUUUUUAUUAGACGUGACCAUCAUAUCGGAUCGCGUCCAUAAUCUUUAAUUAACUGACU
rnacentral:misc_RNA from 1 species